UACGGAGGGUGCAAACGUUGUUCGGAAUCAUUGGGCGUAAAGCGCACGUAGGCGGCUUAUUAAGUCGGAUGUGAAAUCCCGGGGCUCAACCUCGGAAUGCCAUUGGAAACUGAUAAGCUUGAGAGUGAGAGGGGUUAGUGGAAUUGCUGGUGUAGGGGUGAAAUCCGUAGAGAUCAGCAGGAACACCGGUGGCGAAGGCG
rnacentral:rRNA from 1 species